rnacentral:rRNA from 1 species
AGUGAACGCUGGCGGUAGGCCUAACACAUGCAAGUCGAACGGCAGCACAGUAAGAGCUUGCUCUUACGGGUGUCGAGUGGCGGACGGGUGAGGAAUACAUCGGAAUCUACUUUUUCGUGGGGGAUAACGUAGGGAAACUUACGCUAAUACCGCAUACGACCUCCGGGUGAAAGCAGGGGAUCUUCGGACCUUGCGCGAUUGAAUGAGCCUAUGUCGGAUUAGCUAGUUGGCGGGGUAAAGGCCCACCAAGGCGACGAUCCGUAGCUGGUCUGAGAGGAUGAACAGCCACACUGGAACUGAGACACGGUCCAGACUCCUACGGGAGGCAGCAGUGGGGAAUAUUGGACAAUGGGCGCAAGCCUGAUCCAGCCAUACCGCGUGGGUGAAGAAGGCCUUCGGGUUGUAAAGCCCUUUUGUUGGGAAAGAAAAGCAGCAGGUUAAUACCCCGCUGUUCUGACGGUACCCAAAGAAUAAGCACCGGCUAACUUCGUG